GCCGCGAUAGCUCAGUUGGGAGAUGUCAGAUUGAAGAUCUGAUCGUCCCUGGUUCGAUACCGGGUCACGGCA
rnacentral:tRNA from 1 species